CCUACGGGGGGCUGCAGUGAGGAAUAUUGGUCAAUGGACGAGAGUCUGAACCAGCCAAGUAGCGUGAAGGAUGACUGCCCUAUGGGUUGUAAACUUCUUUUAUAUGGGAAUAAAAUGUUCCACGUGUGGGAUUUUGUAUGUACCAUAUGAAUAAGGAUCGGCUAACUCCGUGCCAGCAGCCGCGGUAAUACGGAGGAUCCGAGCGUUAUCCGGAUUUAUUGGGUUUAAAGGGAGCGUAGGUGGAUUGUUAAGUCAGUUGUGAAAGUUUGCGGCUCAACCGUAAAAUUGCAGUUGAAACUGGCAGUCUUGAGUACAGUAGAGGUGGGCGGAAUGCGUGGUGUAGCGGUGAAAUGCUUAGAUAUCACGAAGAACUCCGAUUGCGAAGGCAGUUCACUGGACUGCAACUGACACUGAGGCGCGAAAGUGUGGGUAUCAAACAGGAUUAGAUACCCUUGUAGUC
rnacentral:rRNA from 1 species